AGGGACACGGACCCUCAUCCUUCUACUAUAUCUAAUUCUACAUCAUCUUUUAAUACCGCACAACCAAAUAACUCCACUCCUCUCACACAUCCUACUCCUACUAUAAAUACUAUACCUGUUUCACAUACUGACACUUCUUUACCCUUAUCAUUUCCAUCUCCACCUAUCUUUAGUCACCACCUUAUGCUCACUCGAUCAAAAACCAAAAACUUAAAACCCAAGGCACUCAACACUACAACUUCUCCUCUCCAUGCUCAAUCAGAUUCUCUUAUUCCCAAAUCUAUCAAAAAUUGAAUAUAAGGCCUUGGGUUUUCAUAAAACUUGGAUCCUUGUUGAAACCCCACCUGAUGUAAAUAUCAUUAGGUGUAGAUGGAUUUUUGCUGUUAAAAAGAACUCACAGGGUGAGAUUGUUAGACAUAAGGCACGUUUAGUUGCCAAAGAAUUUAAUCAAGCUGCAGGUAUUGACUUUGAUCAGGUAUAUUCACCCGUAAUUAAGCCGGUUACAAUUCAGGUUAUCAUCACCAUUGCUUUAUCAAAAGGUUGGUUUAUCAAACAAUUUGAUUUUCACAAUACAGUUUUUGAAUGGUACUUUAUCUGAAACUAUAUAUAUGCAUCAACCACCUGGUUUUCAACAUUCAAAUCCUAAUCUUGUUUGUAAAUUGCAUAAAGCUUUGUAUGGCUUAAACUCUUACUUCUACUCUAGCUAAAUUUGGUUUUCAAUGUACUCGUUCGGAUUCCUCUUUAUUCACUAAGUUUUCAGGUCCAAACGUUACAUAUAUUUUAAUAUAUGUUGAUAACAUGCUGGGUACUGGCAACAAUCAAACUGAAAUUCAGUAUAUAAUUAAUCAACUUCAUUCCACUUUUCUCCUUAACGACUUAGGACAUGUGAUUAUUUUUUAGGCAAUGAAGCCUCACAUCACUCUUCAGGUCAUAUCUCUCUAAAUCAGACCUAGUAUAUACCUGAAUUAUUACUUAAAUCCGGAAUGCAAUACUCUAAACUUAUGGUUACUCCUAUGAUCAGUUCUAAUAACCUAACAGAUGUGGACAGUGCUCCCUUUGAUGAUCCAACCCUGUUUCGAUCAUUAUUAGGAGGCAUAUGGUAUGUGAUUCUAAUUAGGCUGGAUAUUUCUUUCUCUGUUAAUAAACUGAGCCAGUAUAUGGCCUCCCUUACUCAAGCACAUUGGAAAGCUUUGUUACUUGGCAGGAUCCAAUCUUGUCUCUUGGAAGUGUAGUAAACAAACCACUGUGAGCAGAAGUUCUACUGAGGCCGAGUUUCAAGCAGUUACAGUUGUACUUACAGAACUGACAUGGAUUCAAAACCGCUUUUUGGAAAUUCGACAACACCCCUCCACUCAUCCCACAAUCUAUUGUGACAAUAUGACUGUUGUCAUGCUCGCUUAUAAUCUGAUUCUUCAUCAUCGAACUAAACAUUUUGAAUUGGACCUCUACUUUGUUCGAGAUAGAGUAACCACAGGUUUAGUAGCUAUUACCCACAUCUCAGGCACUGAGCAGAUAGCUGAUAUCUUCACGAAACCGCUCCUAGCUGCUUCCUUUACAAAAUUCUUUGGCAAACUCAGGUUGGCAUCUAAGCCACCGUGAAUUUGAGGGAGCUGUAGAGACUAUGGGUAUGGUCGGCAAGUCAGUUGUAUUAUCUAGUACCUUCCAAGUCUAUUAGUAUAUGUAACUAUAAAAUAGUUCUCUCUCUCUCCUUUGUGAAGACACAUUUUGAUUUCAUAUUGAUAGUUGAAAUAUCACAAGCUUUGUUCUC